rnacentral:lncRNA from 12 species
GCAGAAAGCGCUUCAUUUGGUUGAUAUGUUAUAAUUGCUUGAGUUGUGGACAUUUGUCUAUGCACCUAUGUAUUUGAUGCUGAUCAUCCCAUACAAAGAUGACAAUGAUGUUUUCGCCUUUCUAUUUGAAAUCAUAAACUUUUAAUUGAUCUUUCUUCAUUGCUAUAGAAAAUAGACUGUGUUCUUUAUCAAAAAAGUCCAUUUUUACACUAUCUUCUAUGUUAAUAAAAAAAGCAUUUUGGGGCAAAAUGAGCAUUUUGCCCUAAAAUCCUUUUUUUGCAAAGACUUUUUAAAAAUUUGAGUUCAUUUAACUGUUAUAAUUUUAAAAUUACAGAUCAAGGAUGGAUUUGGAUUCUUUGUCACAGGUUGGUAAACAGUCACAUCUAGCUCAUUUCCCAUCAUUUAAAAAACACUGUCUGAUGGCCUAUUAUAUCCUGUAAGAGUAACUAGGGAAAUAGUAGUGUAUACAGCAAACCAAGUCCUAUCAAUGACGUUUACGUUGUAGGGUUGGGGGGAGAGAGAAAAAAAAAUUAGGUGUCCAGAGCAUUUUUAAUCUCAACUCUGGUUCAUCUCUGAUAGAUCCAAGGGCCAUUUUUAAAGUUUUGUUAUUGAACUGGAAUGCAGCCAGAGUAACUGCCAUGCGAGCAAGCCCUCUACUUUUUAAGGAGACCGAAUCACACAUACUUUGUGAUGGAUGCUGUGAUGCACCACCUGGGUGGCCCUUCCAUAAAGAUUCGUCUCAGCUGCUAGACCUAGCACCUUCAUGGACCACACUCUGGUGAGAAGAGCAUCCUUAUCCAAGGUCAUCUACCUCCUGUGGAAGUCUACAUC